rnacentral:rRNA from 1 species
AUGCAGAUGGACAGACGGCUCCUGAAAGCAGCCACAUCGGGUGACUCGGCGUCGAUGCAGGCCAUGGCUUCGCAGGAUCUAAGCAUUCUUCUCGGAACAACCCCGCAGGGGAACACUUGUCUCCACAUAUCCUCCAUCCAUGGCCACGAGGGGUUCUGCGUGGACGUGAUCGCACUAGAGGACUCCCUGCUCGCCCAGACCAACCUGGACGGCGAGACGCCGCUUGUCGCCGCCGUGAGAAGCGGCUCCGUGGCCGUGGCUUCCGCCUUGCUCGGACGCUACCGAGUGCGGCGGUUGAGCGAGGCCAUCUUGGAGAAAGACAAGGACGGAUGCAGUGCGCUCCACCAUGCCAUCUGCAGCGGCGACACGGAGCUCGCUCUGGAGCUGAUAGAAGCAGAGCCCGCCCUCUCCAAAGGUGUCAACAACUUCGGCGACUCGCCAAUGUACGUUGCUGCCGCCAGAGAUCUUACUAGCGUUGCCCUGAGACUGUUGGAGAUUGGCGAUUCUGAUCACGGGGGACAGUUCGGCUACAAUGCUCUCCAUUCAGCAGUCAGAAAUGGGAACUCAGUUAUCGUUAAAAGAAUCAUGGCCAAACGUCCUGGGCUGGCCAAAGAAGCUCACAAGCGUGGGUAUACUCCAAUGUGCACGGCCAUGUACCGUGACAAGAUCGACAUGCUACGGCUGCUGCUGGAGCAUGAUCCCGCUCUAGGGUAUGACAUGACGAGCGAUGGUUAUUCUCUCCUUCAGGUUGCUGCACACGCAGGUCAUGUUGCCACUGCACGCGAGCUGCUUAAGCACUGCCCAGAUGCUCCUUGCCGCGGAGCACGCGUUGAGCGUUGGACGUGCCUCCACACAUCCGUAUACUAUGGUCAUCUGGACUUUGUGAAAUUUGUCCUCGCAACGCCACAGCUUGGCAAACUGGUCAACAUGCAGGACAACAAAGGAAGAACUGCUCUGCAUCUCGCUGUGGAGAACUGUGAUCCAAAAGUGGUUGCUGCUUUACUGUCUCAUAAGGAUACACACACACAUGUGAUGAACAACAACGGCACGUCACCAGCUUGGGUAUUGUCAGGAAUCAUGCAUCGUGCCACGACGUUAAACUGGAAUGAAGUGAUGAUGCUUAUGCUGAGAGCUGAUCCCCAAAGUGCCCCUUCAGCUUAUAAUCUUCAUGUGCACACAACACGGCUGUUGACCGAUGCAUCACGGAUGGAUGCAAAGUCACUAACUAAAACAUACACAACCAACACCUCAUUAGUGGCGAUCCUCAUUACAACAAUCACCUUUGCCGCUGCUUUCACCCUCCCCGGAGGAUACAGCAGUGCUACUGGAAGCGAGGGACUUCCCAUCAUGUCUCAAAAGGCUGCAUUCAAGGCAUUCAUAAUCUCUGACACCUUAGCAAUGUGCUCUUCAUUUGUUGUCGCCUUUAUAUGCAUCGUAGCAAGGUGGAAGGAUUAUGAGUUCUUGAUCUAUUACAGAUCCUUCACUAGGAAGCUCAUGUGGUUUGCAUACGUGGCAACAACUACGGCCUUUUCAACUGGUUUAUACACAGUGCUGGCUCAACGUCUCCACUGGCUAUCCAUAUCAAUUUGUGUUUUGGUAGCUUUGUUGCCCAUUCUUACUAAGUUGCUGGGCGAAUGGCCUUACUUGAAGAUCAGAUUCGGCUUAGGUAGAACUUUCAGCUCCGAUCUCCUUGACAUGGUGUGA